rnacentral:rRNA from 1 species
UACGUAGGGAGCAAGCGUUGUCCGGAAUCAUUGGGCGUAAAGCGCGCGUAGGUGGCCCAGUAAGUCCGUUCUGAAAGUCACAGGCUCAACCUGUGAAAGCGGAUGGAUACUGCUGGGCUAGAGUCCGGAAGAGGCGAGUGGAAUUCCUGGUGUAGCGGUGGAAUGCGCAGAUAUCAGGAGGAACACCAACGGCGAAGGCAGCUUGCUGGGACGGUACUGACACUGAGGCGCGAAAGCGUGGGGAGCGAACAGG